GAUGAACGCUGGCGGCGUGCCUAAUACAUGCAAGUCGAGCGAACAGACGAGGAGCUUGCUCCUUUGAUGUUAGCGGCGGACGGGUGAGUAACACGUAGGUAACCUACCUAUAAGACUGGGAUAACUUCGGGAAACCGGAGCUAAUACCGGAUAAUAUUUCGAACCGCAUGGUUCGAUAGUGAAAGAUGGCUUUGCUAUCACUUAUAGAUGGACCUGCGCCGUAUUAGCUAGUUGGUAAGGUAACGGCUUACCAAGGCAACGAUGCGUAGCCGACCUGAGAGGGUGAUCGGCCACACUGGAACUGAGACACGGUCCAGACUCCUACGGGAGGCAGCAGUAGGGAAUCUUCCGCAAUGGGCGAAAGCCUGACGGAGCAACGCCGCGUGAGUGAUGAAGGUCUUCGGAUCGUAAAACUCUGUUAUUAGGGAAGAACAAACGUGUAAGUAACUGUGCACGUCUUGACGGUACCUAAUCAGAAAGCCACGGCUAACUACGUG
rnacentral:rRNA from 1 species